rnacentral:misc_RNA from 1 species
AAGUCGUAACAAGGUUUCCGUAGGUGAACCUGCGGAAGGAUCAUUAACACGUAUCCAACGUUAAACCCCCCGUGAACCUUCAGUGCGCUCGCACUUUCUUAGAAAAGGUAGCAAUCCCUGGUAAAUCAUUGCCGAACAGUUUUGAUUCAGGGACUUCUGCGUAGACUGUGCUUGAGCGUGAGGCAAGUGGCCUGGCAUUCCUCUGCUUGUUGGUGUCUGAAAGUGUCACCAGCUCUGUACGAAUGGCGCAGUCACGAUCGCUAGAGGUCACUGGGCGCGAGCCCCCCUCGUCACCUUUGCAUGAAAACGGGCCUGCGCUUAAUUGUGCGGCCACCAAACUCGAACAACUGUUAACAAUGGAUAUCUUGGUUCUC